rnacentral:rRNA from 1 species
UACGAGGGGGGCGAGCGUUGUUCGGAAUUAUUGGGCGUAAAGGGUGCGUAGGCGGUUCCGCAAGUCCUGUGUGAAAUCUUCGGGCUCAACUCGAAGUCUGCACGGGAAACUGCGGGGCUUGAGUGUGGGAGAGGUGAGUGGAAUUCCCGGUGUAGCGGUGAAAUGCGUAGAUAUCAGGAGGAACACCGGCGGUGUAGACGGCUUACUGGACCAUAACUGACGCUGAGGCACGAAAGUGUGGGGAGCAAACAGG